rnacentral:rRNA from 1 species
CUUAUAGUAAUUUUUAUAAGUAUAACCUGCUCAAUGAAAUUUAAUAGCCGCAGAAUUUACUGUGCUAAGGUAGCAUAAUCAUUUGUUUUUUAAUUUAAAACUAGAAUGAAAGGUUUAACAUUUUAAUUUCUAUUUAAAUUAUAAAUAUUUAAAUUAUAUUAAAUAUAAAAAUAUAUUUAUUUUAUAAAAAGACGACAAGACCCUAUUAAAUUUUACUUUUGUUUAACUGGGGAAGUUAUUUAAAUAUAAUUUUAAAUUAUUAUUAUUAAUAAAUAUCUAAUAUAAUUAAUAAUUGAUCAAAUUACUAUAGGGAUAACAGCAUAAUUUUAUUUUAAAGUUCUUAUUUUUAAUAAAGUUUAUGACCUCGAUGUUGAAUUAUUAUUCUAUAUUAUGCAAUAAUAAUAUAAGUAGGUCUGUUCGACCUUUAAUAUAUUACA